UCUUACAGUCCACCUGAAGGGGUUUUAGCUGCUGGAAUACAUUGCACACUUGGGGGCAAGCACUAUAGCAAGUCUCUCAAGCUUUAAGCACACUUAGAUUCCCUGGCAAUUGCCACAAAGCUGAUUUUGAUAUAGCAGCUCUGGGCUCAGCCAGAGAUUCUGUAUUUCUAGCGGGGAAUGGAAGGCUGCUGCUCCAUGGCUCAUGCACUGAGAAGAAAGGCUCUGCUAUCUUCCCAUAGAAACUUCAACAGUUUUCGCUGGAGCUGUGAUGAAGGCUGACUGCAAACUUGCUCCUAUGCCAGAGAUCAAUCAGACAGAGGCUCUGCAGC
rnacentral:lncRNA from 1 species